GGCUCUAUAGCUCAGUGGUAGAGCAUACGAUUGCAGAUCGUGUUGUCCCGUGUUCGAACCACGGUGGGGCCU
rnacentral:tRNA from 1 species